rfam:Gossypium hirsutum cultivar TM-1 chromosome 12, whole genome shotgun sequence
AUCCCAUGAUGAGGGCAUCUUCUCAAGAGGUCCUUGUAUCUCUCUCAUGCAUCAUAGAAUGUCUCUAGAUCCAUCUGCAUAAAAGAAGAGAUAUCAUUCCUUAAUUU